AUUGCUGUUCAUCCACAACGGCGUAUAUAUAGGUUAUAGUUGCAGAGCAGGUUCUUCAGUGACUUGAAGAACUUUGUCAACGGACUGUUUCGCUGAAGACCCAAAACAUCGCCGGGCAUCGGCUGCAGCUCAUGGCGCAUCGCAGAACUCCAAUGUUCCCAGCACGCGGAAGGUCUGGAAGGAUGCCAAUCCGUACAAGAAAAAGAAGUACGAACAGCACGAAAACGAAGAGAAUCUACGGCGCUGUCCUGUGGCUCUACUCGAAUUCUAUAAAUCGAAAUGUUAUUUUCUAAUUGAUAUAAAUAUUUUGUAUAUGAUUAACU